rnacentral:miRNA from 1 species
CCUUCCAAACAGUAAAAGCAAACAAACAAACAGACCAAACUUGUCAUUGUUGUUUUGAUUUGCUCUUUUUGUUUGCUUUUGUGUUUUGAGACAGGGUCUGGCUGUAUAGCUCCUGC